rnacentral:rRNA from 1 species
AGAGUUUGAUCAUGGCUCAGGAUGAACGCUAGCUACAGGCUUAACACAUGCAAGUCGAGGGGAAACGGACAUCGAAAGCUUGCUUUUGAUGGGCGUCGACCGGCGCACGGGUGAGUAACGCGUAUCCAACCUGCCCAUCACUUGGGGAUAACCUUGCGAAAGUAAGACUAAUACCCAAUGAUAUCUCUAGAAGACAUCUGAAAGAGAUUAAAGAUUUAUCGGUGAUGGAGUGGGGAUGCGUCUGAUUAGCUUGUUGGCGGGGUAACGGCCACAAGGCUACGAUCAGUAGGGUUCUGAGAGGACGGUCCCCACAUUGGAACUGAGACACGGUCCAAACUCCUACGGGAGCA